rnacentral:rRNA from 1 species
GUGGGGAAUAUUGGACAAUGGGGGGAACCCUGAUCCAGCCAUGCCGCGUGUGUGAAGAAGGCCUUUUGGUUGUAAAGCACUUUAAGCGAGGAGGAGGCUACCGAGAUUAAUACUCUUGGUUAGUGGACGUUACUCGCAGAAUAAGCACCGGCUAACUCUGUGCCAGCAGCCGCGGUAAUACAGAGGGUGCAAGCGUUAAUCGGAUUUACUGGGCGUAAAGCGCGCGUAGGUGGCCAAUUAAGUCAAAUGUGAAAUCCCCGAGCUUAACUUGGGAAUUGCAUUCGAUACUGGUUGGCUAGAGUAUGGGAGAGGAUGGUAGAAUUCCAGGUGUAGCGGUGAAAUGCGUAGAGAUCUGGAGGAAUACCGAUGGCGAAGGCAGCCAUCUGGCCUAAUACUGACACUGAGGUGCGAAAGCAUGGGGAGCAAACAGGAUUAGAUACCCUAGUAGUCC